ACAACACUCACAUGUGUUGCUGAUCCCUCAUGAAUGCAUCUCUCCUUCCACAAAGAAUGGACUUCAUGUGGCAGCGUUGAGAUCGCCCACUGAGCGAAUUAACCACAAAAAUGGGGACUUUAACGUGAUGAAACCAUGGAAGUCGAUCGGCAAUCAAGCGGCUGGGUAUAUGACGAAUUCAAACAAAAUUUGUGUUGGUUCUCAAAUUCGAAGUUAACAUUGGUCUUUUGAUGAAUUACGACGGCUAUGGUGGGCGUUCCUUCUUGCCCACGCUCACAUCACAAGGGAGACAAGGGUUGGGCCCCAGCAGAUAUUGUAUAUCGCGUUCGGUACCAGACCUAGGUGGCCUUGAAGCUCCCUUUCUUCGUGGCCUCGCCUCGCCUGAUGCCUCACAGCUUGUCCGAUUACUCAGUUUUUUGAAAGUUUUUCACAGUAGAUUGUAGGAGUUUUUCUCAAUCCAGGUGCGCUGGGGUUGUAUUGGUCACCGAUGGUGAUCCUGUGAUGAAUUUUGGAGCACAAGUUUGAUGGGAGAAGCAUUGUGUGUAUGCCAUUUGGUCCACGUAGGGAUUCUCUGCAAGUGGAUGCGACGGAUCUAUCCUUAUGAGCUCUGGUUCUGUUUCGUGUAACGUUUGGUAUUGCAAAUCAUUCGUAGUUUACGGUUCGUUAAAGUUCGGGUGGAAUUGUGGGUGUAGUUCCGAGGGCUUCUGAAGCUAUCCCAGUUUGAUCCCACGUUCAAUUAGUAGGCAGGAUCUGGUCGCCUCUUUUUCUAUGCAUCCGUGGUGACUUGCGCGAGUUAAAUUAGUUCAGAGCUUUUUUUUUAAAGGUUUUCAAGGGUUGAUUUUUCUUCUGAGUGGGUACCGUGACCGGUGUGUUGCGAUAAAGGCUUUUUUCGAUCACCGUGGAGUUGGAAGUGGUUUUAGGGCUGUAAAUUCCAUAGGUGCAUGAGGGAGGAAAGUUAUGGGAUUGGAGAAGAUGGGGCUGCCGCCGAAGCCCUAUGAGAAAGGGAAGGAUUGGACUCCGGACGCCCCCAACUGUGAAGGAUGUGGCGCUACCUUUACUUUCUUCAAUCGCAAACACCAUUGUCGCAGAUGUGGCGGUCUGUUCUGCAACAAUUGUACGUUGAGUCGACAGUAUUUGCGAGGCCAAGGUGACGCUCCAGCGCGUGUUUGUGAACCUUGUAAGAAAAUUGAGGAUGCUGUUAAACUUGAGCGACAGACGAAAAGCAAGACUCCGAGAGGAGUUACCAAGGCAAGCACCAAAGAUGACGGCACCGAGGCAUUGCUGAAGCAUAUACUAGGUUCCGAUGGAAAGUCACAAGGGGAUGUAGAUGUUGAGAGCAUCUUAGCCAGAGUGGCAGACAAUGAUAGCGAUGAACACGAGCUUGCUUCACCCACUCAGGAAAAUGCCCCAGUUUCCCCAGCAAGAUUGCAUGAGCAAGCCCAAGAGGAGAAAAAGAGAUACAGUGCGUUAAAGAAACAGGGAAAAGAUGCAGACGCACUGAAAGCUUUCAAGAGAGCGAAGGAACUUGAACGACAGGCAGAGGCUAGAGAAAAAGAAAUCAGGCAUCAAAGGAGGAUAUCUGCUGGUUCAAGCAGUCAAUUUUUAGGUCAACAUAGUAAAACAAGCCCAAGCAGAGAAGACCCUGAACUGAGCUCGUUUAGCAGAAAGGAAUCUGAACUUGGUGACAACCUGAAGAAGCGAAGAGCUGCAUCUCAAGAUCAGGUUAAGGAGAAAGUGCCAGCUUCUGAAAAAGAUGACUUCCUCCAUGAUUUGAAGGCUUUAGGAUGGAGCGACAAAGAGAUACGGGAGGCUGAGAAAAAACCAGUUCCCAAAACUGAGGAGCAGCUCCUCGCAGAGUUGACUGCUGAAGUUCAUCCUAAGUUAGGGCGACCAGCAACUAGUACAGCUCCAGGAGCAGGCGCGACAAUGUCCGCGCAAAUUUUGGCUCAUAGGAGGCAAGCCCUGGUUUUUAAGAGAGAAGGAAAUAUGAUAGAGGCAAAAGAGGAGCUCAGGAAGGCAAAGCUACUGGAGAAACAAGCCGAGGAAAUGGCCGUGCUAUGUCAAGGAGAGGGAGAUGAUGAAGCCUCAGACGAUGAUGAUUUAGUUGCCCUGAUUCGCGGUCUUGAAAAGGAAGAGAAACUGAAAGGAAACGCUGGCAAAGGAGGGACCUCUCAAUCUAUCCCUGAGGACUUUAGCCUUUUCUCCAGUUUUGUUGAUGAUGAUGGCGAUGCGCAUGUGGAGGUGGACGACGAUGACUUGCAUGACCCAGAAAUGGUUGCUGCUUUAAGGGCCAUGGGUUGGGAGGAAGAAGGAGCUGGCUUGGAACGAAAAUCCAAGAUCCAGCCUAAAGUUUCUAAAUCCACUCAAUCUAUUGAACCUACUCUGAAAGAACAAAUUUUAGCUCUGAAAAGAAAGGCACUUGGUUUUAAGCGAGAAGGUAAGAUUGCUGAAGCACGAGCUGCACUUGGCGAAGCUAAAAUGCUUGAACAACAAUUAGAGAAGCAAGAAAGCUUAACGACUCCUUCCAGUACUGUACAAACUCCUCUGCAACCUCCCGCACAAGUUUCAGUACCUGCUCUUGAUGUCAAUGACGAUAAAGUGGAGGAGAGUGAAGAAGUAGUAGAGGUUACAGAGGAAGAUAUGCAUGACCCAGAAAUGAUGGCCCAACUUCGAGCGAUGGGUUUCGGGGAUGAGUCAACUUCUUCACAUGAAACUGUUACAAUAGUGACAAAGGACAAUUCAGUCAAGAAAGCUGCCCUGAAUCAGGAGAUACUUGGUCUAAAGAGGCAGGCUCUAGCUCUGAAACGGGAAGGCCGUACUGACGAGGCUCGGGAGGUUCUACGUGAGGCCAAGAUUCUAGAGCAGCAGGUCCAAGAUCUCCAGGCAGUCUCCCAGCGUCAAGAGGAGGCGUCUGCAUUAAUAAUGGAGAGUCGAGCAGUACGACGGGGUGUGCAGCCACCACUUGUGCUUUCUGAAGCACUUAGUUUAGACGAUGAAGGUGAAGAGGAAGAUGUGGAGGUAGAUAAUGCCGACCUUGUUGAUCCUGCCAUUGCUGCAGCUCUAGCUGCCAUGGGUUGGCAAGAUGAUCCAACAGAUCAACCUUUAGAAUUAUCCGCUAUUGUUUCCAAGGAUGAUGAACCCAAUCGACGAGCAGCUGUAGUUUCUGAUCUAGUUCCUGAAAGUUUGAAACCUGUGGGUGAAUCACAACCCCAGAAAGUUGAAAGCAUGAAAUCGGAUGUUAAGGCCAUUGAGCCCAAGGAAACGGAACCUACAUAUAAUGCUUCUGCCGAAGUGUUAUCUGUACCAGCAACCUCUAACCCUAUGUACUCAAACAAAACGAAAUCACAGUUGCAGCAAGAGUUACUGGGUCGAAAGCGACGAGCUCUUGCUUUGAAACGAGAAGGUAAAUCUGAUGAAGCUCGCAUUGAGCUCCAGGAAGCAAAAAUUAUCGAGCAGAAAAUUGCAGAGUUAGACAAAGGUCCAGCAGCCAUUCCUCUCACUGUUGCCGAGCCAAACCCACCAGCUGCUUCCGUGCAACAUUUGAAGCAAGUUCUAGAAUCCGCACCACCUGUAUAUUUCGAUGACCUGCCAAUUGAUGGCGUUGAAGUUACUGAUGAUGACAUGCAAGAUCCAGCAUUGCUUGCUGCCUUAGCGAGUGUGGGAUGGCAAGGAGAUGCGGAGGUAAGAGUUCCUUCCAAAUCAGCUCCAAUCUUAAAGAAGAACUCAGCAACUGGUGAAAUGGAGCCAGUUGAGGGAAAUGUGAAAUCCUCUGGUAUUAAAGCACAAACUGGGAAAGGCGUAGAGAAGCUGGAAAUGGUCCUGGAGUCUGAUUGGGGAGUUCCUCGAAAGAAGACUGGUAAGGGAACGGUUUCGAAGGGGACUAGUAAAGAAAAACUUGACAGUUCACACAAUGAGGGAGAGACAUUUUUUGAGGGUGAAUAUGGUGAAAUUGGCCAAACUUUGGAUCUUGUCCCACCUAUAUUGGACCAUACAGUACCAAAAGAUAGUGCUGCUCCUUCACAGCAGCACAAUUUCUGGUUCAUGGAUCUACUUACUGGAGAUCGGACUAAAUCAAAUGCAAGCAAAGAGCAGGCAGAUCGUGUCAUACUGCCCCCUCUCACACAAUCCAUUCCUAAGCCUCCAGAAAGGGUCCUCUCUAGUUUACCUAGUGCCAAGCCCGCCGAGGUACCCGUGACUAAAGCUGCGGUAAGCCCGCAGCCAGCAACACUAAAUUUACCGCAAGAAAUCUUAGCUCAUAAGCGGAAGGCACUAGCCUUGAAGCGGGAAGGCAAGGCAGCGGAGGCAAGGGAAGAGCUUCGAAAAGCCAAAUUGCUAGAGAAGCAAAUGGUUCAGCACGAAUCGGAACCAACCGUGUUGAGAUCAGCAUUAACAUCAGCAGGAACAGGCGAUGCAUCUGCACGCAACAACGCAGAAGCAGUUCCUGUGUCAACAACAGUUACUCGAGCUAAGAUUGAACCCUCAAUUCCAGUCAAAACAAGUUCCCCGUCGAAGGUUUCGGAUCACAAGGGAGAAAUGCAGAAACAAGUGCGGCAAACAAAAGAUCGUAUGAAGCUCCAACAGGAGUCACUUGCUCACAAGCGCAAGGCCAUGGGUCUGAGGCGUGAAGGGAAAAUUGAUGAAGCUGAUGCAGAGUAUGAAUUGGCCAAGAACCUAGAAAAACAGAUGGAAGAGUUGGAUCCAAUGCACGGGAAGGACUUGGGAGAUGUAGCUGGAGUGGAUGAUCUUUUAGACCCGCAGCUAUUAGCAGCCCUCAAGAGCGUAGGGUUUAAAGAAGGUGAAUUGGCAGGGGCUAGUAGACCCAAAGGACCCGUAAACCCCCUCGCAGCAGUGACUGGGCAAACACGAUGUGAAGUGGGUUCAAGUUCAAGAACAUCGCUAGGAGGAGCGGUCGCGGCUUCUAAUGUGACCGGGGGAGCAGUCGAGGCAGAGAAGAAACAGUUAGAAGAGCAAAUACGGGCGCAAAAGCUUCAAGCAGUCCAAUUAAAGCGCGCAGGCAAGCAAGGAGAGGCCCUGGAAAAGCUUCGCGCGUCGAAGCUACUGGAGAAGCGGCUUCUGGCUUUGUCGUCUUAAUCUCAUUAUGUUGGCAUUAUAGGACAUUUCGACGUCUCGCAUGUUUGGAUCUUCCUCUUGCGUUCACAUUUAGGGUCACGCAAUUUGAGCUAAAUCAUGUAUUGUUAAUCUGCCAGCCAUAUUUAAAGUAUGUUGACACGAUGUAUAUUCGGCCAAUGGAUGGUGUCUACUCACCGAAUAGCAUGGCAAAUUUCGGCAUUUAUGAGUGGCAAUCUAAUCCUUGAAGAAGAACAUGUUUCAUGACGAGCUGCUCAAAUGGUGUCGCUGAGCAGAUCGGUGCUAGACUGGUACUCUCGUUGAAUCUACUUGCUAUUAUCGUAACUUGUACGAAACAGUCUUUCUAAAAAUUGACUACGCACAUAAUUCUCAUCUAUUCCGGUGAUUCGGACCUCUGGUCUGCGACUGAGCCUGGAACUUGAUAAAAAGGAUGGUUUUUCCACUUGACAAAUCAAGCAGGAUUGAAAUCCCUCGGAUUUUCGAAGCAGCUUGGGACGUGAUGGGCAUUCCGGAUUGCACACACAAUUUUUCAUCCCCUCGCCACUGCGUAUCCUCACAUCAAUGGUACAAAUUCGUUCUACAUUUGUUGAAUGCUGCACGAUGGAACCCGGUGGAGUUGAAAGUGAAGAAAAAUGAGCAUUAGUUAUCACAAGCAUGAUUUGUCACAGCUUCAUUGUAGCACAGCUUCGUCAACUAAACAGAGAUCACUUCCCCUAUUCGCUGACCUUAUCGCUGCUGUGGAACCAUUACAAAAGCCCAUUUGAGCGCAAUUGUUAUCAGGGUAGCCAAAGUUGGGGACAAUUUGGAGGACAACAUGCUCAUCAAAUUGACAAUGGCAGGAUUGCCUAAGACAUGGGCCUCCUUUAGAAAUAUGUUCAAUACUAUUUUUACCGCAAA